UGAAUACGAGAUGCUACGGCAUCGAAGCAGUCUAUGUCAUACUUCCGAGAAAAGCUUGCACUGUCAUAAACAAAUAAUGCCUGUACCAUAACCGACACAGGUGGGUAGGUAGAGUAUACUAAGGGGCGCGAGAUAACUCUCUCUAAGGAACUCGGCAAAAUGACUCCGUAACUUCGGGAGAAGGAGUGCCUUAUUUUAUAAGGUUGCAAUAACAAGAUCCAAGCAACUGUUUACCAAAAACACAGGUCUCCGCUAAGUCGUAAGACGAUGUAUGGGGGCUGACGCCUGCCCAGUGCCAGAAGGUUAAAGAAGUUGGUUAGCAUUAGCGAAGCUGAUAACUGAAGCCCUGGUGAACGGCGGCCGUAACAAUAACGGUCCUAAGGUAGCGAAAUUCCUUGUCGGGUAAGUUCCGACCCGCACGAAAGGCGUAAUGAUUUGGAUACUGUCUCGGAGAGGGGCUCGGUGAAAUAGACUUGUCUGUGAAGAUGCGGACUACCUGCACCAGGACAGAAAGACCCUAUGAAGCUUUACUGUAACUUGAGAUUGAAAUUGGACUUUAUUUGCGCAGUAUAGGUGGGAGACGUUGGAAAUAUUCUUGCGGGAAUAUUGGAGUCAUCAGUGAGAUACCACUCUUAUAAUGUUAGAUUUCUAACUUUGUAUCAUUAUCUGGUCAAAGAACAGUCUCAGGCGGGCAGUUUGACUGGGGCGGCCGCCUCCCAAACGGUAACGGAGGCGCACAAAGGUUUCCUCUGAACUGUAGAAAUCGUAUCUAGAGUGUAAAGGCAUAAGGAAGCUUGACUGUGAGACCUACAAGUCGAGCAGGGACGAAAGUCGGUCUUAGUGAUCUGACGGUGCUGAGUGGAAAGGCCGUCACUCAACGGAUAAAAGUUACUCUAGGAUAACAGGCUGAUCUCCCCCAAGAGUUCACAUCGACGGGGAGGUUUGGCACCUCGAUGUCGGCUCAUCGCAUCCUGGGGCGGUAGUACGUCCCAAGGGUUGGGCUGUUCGCCCAUGAAAGCGGUACGCGAGCUGGGUUCAGAACGUCGUGAGACAGUUCGGUCCAUAUCCGGUGUAGGCGUUAGAAUAUUGAGAGGAGCCUUCUUUAGUACGAGAGGACCGAGAAGGACAUACCUCUGGUGUACCAGUUAUCGUGCCAACGGUAAACGCUGGGUAGCUAUGUAUGGAGAGGAUAACCGCUGAAAGCAUCUAAGUGGGAAGCCCACCUCAAGAUAAG
rnacentral:rRNA from 1 species